AAAAUACUUCCUCCGUCCGGAAAUACUUGUCAUAGGAAUGGAUGUAUUUAGAUGUAUUUUAGUUCUAGAUACAUCUAUUUUUAUAUUUUGUGCGACAAGUAAUUCCGAACGAAGGGAGUAAAAA
rfam:Hordeum vulgare subsp. vulgare, WGS project CAJW01000000 data, contig: morex_contig_57783